rnacentral:tRNA from 1 species
AUUUAUAUAGUUUAAUUAAAAACAUAAUAUUGAAGAUAUUAAGAUGAUAUUCUAUAUCUUAAAUUA